UGGGGAAUAUUGCACAAUGGGCGCAAGCCUGAUGCAGCCAUGCCGCGUGUGUGAAGAAGGCCUUCGGGUUGUAAAGCACUUUCAGCGAGGAGGAAGGUGGUGAACUUAAUACGUUCAUCAAUUGACGUUACUCGCAGAAGAAGCACCGGCUAACUCCGUGCCAGCAGCCGCGGGUAAUACGGAGGGUGCAAGCGUUAAUCGGAAUUACUGGGCGUAAAGCGCACGCAGGCGGUUUGUUAAGUCAGAUGUGAAAAUCCCCCGGGCUCAACCUGGGAACUGCAUUUGAAACUGGCAAGCUAGAGUCUCGUAGAGGGGGGUAGAAUUCCAGGUGUAGCGGUGAAAAUGCGUAGAGAUCUGGAGGAAUACCGGUGGCG
rnacentral:rRNA from 1 species